rnacentral:rRNA from 1 species
GACGAACGCUGGCGGCGUGCUUAACACAUGCAAGUCGAACGGAAAGGCCAGUGCUUGCACUGGUACUCGAGUGGCGAACGGGUGAGUAACACGUGGGUGAUCUGCCUUGCACUCUGGGAUAAGCUUGGGAAACUGGGUCUAAUACCGGAUAUGAACUGCCUUUAGUGUGGUGGUUGGAAAGUUUUUUCGGUGCAAGAUGAGCUCGCGGCCUAUCAGCUUGUUGGUGGGGUAAUGGCCUACCAAGGCGUCGACGGGUAGCCGGCCUGAGAGGGUGUACGGCCAACUUGGGGGGUGAGAGCGGGCCCGGCCCCCGACGGGGGGCAGCGGGGGGAAAUGUGGCACAGGGGGGGGAGCCCGGAGGAGGCGACGCCGGGGGGGGGAGGGCGCCCUGGGGUUUGUAAACUCUUUCCGACGGGAACGAGGGUAAAGGGGGGGUCCUUGAAAAAAAAGCCCGGGCUAACUAGGUC